UACGUAGGGGGCAAGCGUUGUCCGGAAUUAUUGGGCGUAAAGCGUGCGUAGGCGGCUUGUUAAGUCUGGUGUGAAAGCUAGGGGCUCAACCCCUGUGUUGCACUGGAAACUGGCAGGCUUGAGUGCGGUAGGGGAAGGUGGAAUUCCGAGUGUAGCGGUGAAAUGCGUAGAUAUCUGGAGGAACACCGGUGGCGAAGGCGGCAUCCUGGACCGGCAUUGACGCUGAGGCGCGAAAGCCAGGGGAGCAAACGGG
rnacentral:rRNA from 1 species